rnacentral:rRNA from 1 species
UACAGAGACUGCAAGCGUUAUUCGGAUUCACUGGGCGUAAAGGGUGCGCAGGCGGCCAAGUGUGUUAGGUGUGAAAGCCCGGGGCUUAACCCCGGAAUUGCACCCAAAACUACAUGGCUAGAGCAUUGGAGAGGGUAGCAGAAUUCAUGGUGUAGCAGUGAAAUGCGUAGAUAUCAUGAGGAAUACCAGAGGCGAAGGCGGCUACCUGGACAAUUGCUGACGCUCAGGCACGAAAGCGUGGGGAGCAAAAGGGAUUAGAAACCCCAGUAGUCC